rnacentral:lncRNA from 1 species
UCACUUUCGACUAUCUUGAUGAGAAACUCAUUGACACCGGUCUUACGAAGUUCCUUGGCCUCUGCCCUUCAGCCUUGUCUCGGUACUUGGAGUUUGCCUCUACAUGCUCCACCUCCUCGGCCCUUUUCACAACCAAGCGCUCUCCCUCCAUGAGAGCAAGGGAUCAAUGACUUUUACGGAAGUCCCACCUCUGCGGUACCAUGGCGCUGCCAUGCCCAUGGCCCUACUAUCCGUCGCCUCGCAUCUGCAUCCCUUUUCUUCACGAUCAGUAGAUAUGUCUCCGUGACACUCCUUUGAGUCUAGCUUCAUUCUAACUGAUGCUUGAUUUUUGGUAGCUAAGUCCCUCUGGACUCAUCGUCGCUUCCUCGCCCCUUUCGACCCCCUGCUUCAACACCUCUGUGUUCUCCAAGCAGUCUGUUUGGUCGAUGGAAAGACAGACUGUAACUCCCAUGCAUGGCCUCUGCCAUCACGUUAUAGGGUUUGCACCGAUUCUAUUCUCCUUAGCUUCCUUAGUAGCAACGUUCGCUUACUCGACCUUGUCCUCUGACUUGCCGGGCUCCCUUAAGCGAAUAUG